rnacentral:rRNA from 1 species
UAACGAAUAUUGGGCAAUGGGCGCAAGCCUGACCCAGCAACGCCGCGUGAGGGAAGAAGGCCUUCGGGUUGUAAACCUCUGUCCUUGGGGACGAAAAAAAUGACGGUACCCAAGGAGGAAGCUCCGGCUAACUACGUGCCAGCAGCCGCGGUAAUACGUAGGGAGCGAGCGUUGUCCGGAAUUACUGGGCGUAAAGGGUGCGUAGGUGGCUUGGCAAGUCAGAUGUGAAAUCCCCGGGCUUAACUCGGGUGCUGCAUUUGAAACUGCUGAGCUUGAGUGCAGGAGAGGAAAGCGGAAUUCCUAGUGUAGCGGUGAAAUGCGUAGAUAUUAGGAGGAACACCAGUGGCGAAGGCGGCUUUCUGGACUGUUACUGACACUGAGGCACGAAAGCGUGGGGAGCAAACA